CGUGAACUUCCCGCAGGCAGCGGGUUGUGACCCCAGUCCCAGCGGAAAAAACGAAUCCCUGCCCACCAGCGUUUGGUCUUCCCACCAGCAAUUCGUAGAAGUGAAAGUGAAGCGCACAGCUCCCCCAGGCAGCACAAAAUGCCGUCCUCAUGGGGAUCUAAAGCUUUGCACAGAAAUCAGGCAGGCUUCAGAUGCCCUUGACAUACUAAGAAGCUUAAUCCUAAUUAACACUCCCUCCCGGUGUGAGGGUGAUGCAAGUUCCAAGAAUCAUGGCGAGCACCUCGGCUGAGCCGUGAAAAGCUGGAGGCGACUGGACUACUCUCCUAACACAGGAGACACCGAUAAUUGAAAAAAGCCCCAAGGCAGCCCAAGCCCCAAGGCCUCGACGUGGAUAUUUGCCACUACCAGAGUGCUGCAGUGCUGAUGCAUUAACUCGGGAACACAGAUUUAAUUUGAUGUCUCCAGGUCUUUGUCUUCUGAUCCAGAGGAAGCGAGAAUAUCUUUCCACUUCCGUCAAGAAUUUGCACCAACCGAAAGCCUUCGUGGAGCUCAAUAGAUUGCAAGGCCCUUGUCCAACCGGUAUCAUUCUGCCAAGCAGGCUGGGAACGUACACUACCAAAGUAACAAGAAGUUAAUUUGAUGCUGAAUUCCCCGCUGGCAAAUGACCAGUAGCCAGGUACUAGACAGUUCAGACCUACCCACCACAGCUGCCGACUGAUCCAGGCACGAGGAGGUGGAAAAAUCUGACCCAGUUAUUUCACAGGAACAUUUGUACCAGUUUUAGCUUCUUGGAACAGUUUCUCAAAGAAAACCAGCUGCAGUGUUUUCUCCUGAACAAGUCUCUAGUUGUCUGCGUGCUGCCAGCGCACGGUCCCGCUUCAACUGAAACAUGUACCAACUGCCGCUGUCUAGGAUCGGGCUUCUCACCCAGAUAUGACUAAGCCCUUUCAAAACAAGAAAUCCUCAGGAUUCCUUGCUUAAUUGCUAAAACAGAUUAAUUUGACUAUCCAGAACAUAACUGAGCGGAAGAGAGGAAUUGACACACCUAGCUGGUUCCUGCUCAGGCUGAUGAUUCACUUUAACUGAUGGGGGACAUUUGUUGUUGAUAUUUCCACCAAAUAGCUGCAGUAAGGCUGCAGGGCUCCCCUCCCAUCUGCCGGGAGGACAAAGGGCAGCAUUCCCUGCAGCCUCGUGUCCAGCGCUUUGGGAGCUGAUGCCGUCUUAAAACAAGAACGUAACUGAUGCCAACCAGCAAGCGUAACCUUCAAAGCUUGAGUUUUAGCGGCCAUGCAUCAUAUCAAGGGCCCGUGCCUUCCCCACACCGAGUGCCCCCAAGGAUUAAGGACUGCAUCUUCACCAAAAAGCUCGCUUGCCCCUGAGGUUUAGCGAAUAAAUCAGUUCAAAACUCCCGCCAGUUUUGAUAGCUCCAGUCACACACACGUGACACUCAGGAAGUCGGUAGUGGAGCCAAAAAAUCAGGGUGGCUGAGCCCAGUCGCACGGUGCUGAGCAACCCCCCCAUGCUACUCCAAUGGUUUUAUUAGAGCCUUAUCAGAUUUCCUGGUGACUCAGACUACUCCAGUGACCCAGGUGAAGGGCAGGGUGGUAGAAACACACACGGAUGGGGUUACAGCACCAUGUUCCUCCAAAAUACCUGCCGAUGCCCACCAGGCCCGUCCCCCUGGAAAUCAUCGCUCUGCAAAUCCCACCUGGAAGUCAUCGAUCUGCAAAUCCCACCGCCCCAGAGCUCUCCCCAUGGCACUGCCUCCACACUGAGGCUCAGCAGACCAUGGCUGUCCCUCUCCGAGCGGCAAACACGGAGGAGGCAGGUGGCUGCUCCGCUCUCCCCAAUGGCCCAGGGUGCUUGCCGGCCCCACGAGCCCCAGCUGCCACCCUGCCGGGUGCCUGGGCCAUGCAUGCAGUCUCCCUGCCACCCCACACUGCUGGGCUCGGUGUAGCGCUGUGUCACCCUGCUGCACCCCUCCAGCAGCGGGCACCUGUGCCAGGCCAGUCCGCAGAUCCCGUUUCCCUCCUUUUGCCCCCCCGUGCCCUUGCAUUAGGGCCCCUUGCACCCCCUUCGUCUCUGUGCACCCCUCCUUGCAUUUCCACACUCCCCGUGCCUCUUUGCAUUAGCACCCUCUGCCUCCAUGCACGUCCUCUUUGCAUCGCACCCCUGGGUCUCCUUGCACCCCGCCUUGCACUGCACCUCCCCUGAGGCUCACACCCUCCUCCAUUGCUUGCCUCUCCUCUCUGCACCCCUUUUUCACUUGGAAACCCCCUUGCCGUAACACCCUCCCGUUCCUCUGCUCCCCCCUUUGCACUGGCACC